AUAGAAAAAGCAGCUUUUAGCACUGAAGACAAGCCCUAAAGGAGAUCCUGACAAGCAAUCUGUCUUGGGGGUAAUUUCCAGAUGGAUCCAGUGCAGAAACCACAUUCCUGAAACUAGUAGAUGAAAGCAUGGCAGCUGACAAAGCUUAAAUUUGUGACUCAGGCAAAUCUGUGUUUACCCAGGAUCAAAGAUUGCAGCAAUAAGAUGACACAUGGUGACAAAAAGGAGCCAGAAAAUUCCACCCAUCUCCCUGACCCCUCUGCUUACCAGUGGGAACCAAAAGUAGGGAGGCACUCUGCUGUGCCAGGAGCAAGGACUGGAGCUCCAGCCUUCCAGGGAGUUUAUCACUCACCAGGUUGCUAACAUUAUGCUUUGAACAAAAUACCAGUGCCAGCAGCUUCCAGCAAAUGGAAAGUCACCAUAAAAAAAAAUGGAUAUCCAGUCCAUUGGCCAGCCAACAUACCUGCUCAGCUACAAGCAAGAAAGCCAAGCAGUUGGCCAGUUCCCAAAGAAGCUGGCCAGGCUGUGAGCCCAUCAGGCAGUUAUACCAUUAGCCAGGCAGCCAACUUGACUGACUUCUGACAAAAGCUUUCCAAGUAGCAUUGUGUCUCCAGG
rnacentral:lncRNA from 1 species